AUUGAACGCUGGCGGAAUGCUUUACACACGCAAGUCGAACGGCAGCACGGACUUCGGUCUGGUGGCGAGUGGCGAACGGGUGAGUAAUAUAUCGGAACGUAUCCAAUAAUGGGGGAUAACUAGUCGAAAGAUUGGCUAAUACCGCAUACGCCCUACGGGGGAAAGCAGGUGAUCUUCGGACCUUGCGUUAAUGGAGCGUCCGAUAUCUGAUUAGCUAGUUGGUGGGGUAAAGGCCCACCAAGGCGACGAUCAGUAGCUGGUCUGAGAGGACGACCAGCCACACUGGUACUGAGACACGGUCCAGACUCCUACGGGAGGCAGCAGUGGGGAAUUUUGGACAAUGGGCGCAAGCCUGAUCCAGCCAUUCCGCGUGAGUGAAGAAGGCCUUCGGGUUGUAAAGCUCUUUCGCAAGGGAAGAAAACUUAGCCACUAACAUUGGCUGAGGUUGACGGUACCUUGAUAAGAAGCACCGGCUAACUACGUGCCAGCAGCCGCCGUAACAC
rnacentral:rRNA from 1 species